rnacentral:misc_RNA from 1 species
GAUGAAGAAUGUAGCGAAAUGCGAUAAGUAGUGUGAAUUGCAGAAUUCAGUGAAUCAUCGAAUCUUUGAACGCACAUUGCGCCCCUUGGUAUUCCAUGGGGCAUGCCUGUUCGAGCGUCAUUUGUACCUUCAAGCUUUGCUUGGUGUUGGGUGUUUGUCUCGCCUUUGCGUGUAGACUCGCCUUAAAAUAAUUGGCAGCCGGCGUAUUGAUUUCGGAGCGCAGUACAUCUCGCGCUUUGCACUCAUAACGACAGCGUCCAAAAGUACAUUUUACACUCUUGACCUCGGAUCAGGUAGGGAUACCCGCUGAACUUAAGCAUAUCAAUAAGCGGAGGA